GUACCAACCCGACUACAAAGACAUCAGCAAAUCCAUGCAGCACCAGAAGUCGCAUUAAUGAGACAUGCAGAGGGGAGAUUGUUCGGAUAUAAACAGCAACACGACACAAUUUGGAGCUCGACGAGGGACAGCUCGGCCAGGGACAGCUCGGCGAGCGACACAAGAGGGCGGCAAUCUCCGGGGUGAGACUCUGCAAUCAACCAGGGAUGGGGAGACUUGCCGAGUAGCGACGUGUCGCCGAACACGAGUUUAGAGCUGACAGAAGAAAUAUCGCUCAAAGUCAUUCUAUCCUGAGUGCCAGCUCCCACCAGCAGCUCCACCGAGCAAGGGUGUCUGCCACCAGCGAUCGAACUGCACGCGCAAUCGGGCAUCGACAAAGAGCACGGGGCAGGAGGGAGCGCGUGCGGCGCAGCUCCUACAGCAGUGGAAGGAGCCUGCUGCUGCCAGCGGACCAGCGGCAAGCGCGAUCGAGCAUCUUCAAGGACAAGCAAUGUGCCGACGCAGCUCCUCCAGCAGUGGAAAGAGCCUGUAUCUACCAGCGGACGGGCAGCUUAGCCGACGCCCCGAGCAAGAAAAAGCAACGAAGCCGUUGUAAGACUCGCCCAACCAUCACACCCUCACCGCUCCACAGGGGACAAACACAUUUGAUACAAGGGAUGCCCAACCUCGGCGUUUGCUUAACGCAAGAAGAUCAACAACACUCACGCAUUAACACGUACAAGAAGACUCGUGAUAAGUGUGUCAACUAUUAGCUGAUAACGAAGAACAUUUCGUCCCAUUGAGUUACGUGGACACAGUCAUUUCGAAGUAUUUUAGUCGUUAUUUUUUUCUCUUUUAAUUGCAUAACUAUUACCAAUGAAUUCAUUGAUGAAACUAAACUUUUAUAAACCUACGUUACGAAUCUACACACUCACAGGGAGAAUAUUGUGUUGAAAUCGUGAUUUUGAUCACAGAAUCUUGCCCGCGAAUUAAUUGAAGCCUCAGCCAAUUGAUAAGCAUUUGCUGAAGCAGGCACACUGUCGCACACCAUUGUUCCAAGACAUUUCGUAAUUACAUAAUCUUCCCAAUGAAUUCAUUGCCUUAUACUUUUGCCUUCGGGACAUGCUUCUUUAUUGCCCUUCAUAUGACUAUCGUUGCAUGAAUUUUUAAGGACUUUUUCCUAUCACCGUAUAUGAGCGCGUUACUCUAAGGAAUUAAUAAAUUAUUCUAUUAGCCAGUUUAACAAACGUGAUCAUUGAGGGUUUAAUGUAUGGAUCGAUGAGGAGAACAUCUCCAGGAGUACUGUGUUGAUAAUUCCAAGCAUAAAGAGUUCGCAUAUUAGAGUGUUAUGUUUUUGUUUAGAAAUUAAAAUUGCUUAACCCAGAA